UGCAGUCGAACGAUGAACCUCACUUGUGGGGGGAUUAGUGGCGAACGGGUGAGUAACACGUGAGUAACCUGCCCUUGACUCUGGGAUAAGCCUGGGAAACUGGGUCUAAUACCGGAUAUGACUCCUCAUCGCAUGGUGGGGGGUGGAAAGCUUUUUGUGGUUUUGGAUGGACUCGCGGCCUAUCAGCUUGUUGGUGAGGUAAUGGCUCACCAAGGCGACGACGGGUAGCCGGCCUGAGAGGGUGACCGGCCACACUGGGACUGAGACACGGCCCAGACUCCUACGGGAGGCAGCAGUGGGGAAUAUUGCACAAUGGGCGAAAGCCUGAUGCAGCGACGCCGCGUGAGGGAUGACGGCCUUCGGGUUGUAAACCUCUUUCAGUAGGGAAGAAGCGAAAGUGACGGUACCUGCAGAAGAAGCGCCGGCUAACUACGUGCCAGCAGCCGCGGUAAUACGUAGGGCGCAAGCGUUAUCCGGAAUUAUUGGGCGUAAAGAGCUCGUAGGCGGUUUGUCGCGUCUGCCGUGAAAGUCCGGGGCUCAACUCCGGAUCUGCGGUGGGUACGGGCAGACUAGAGUGAUGUAGGGGAGACUGGAAUUCCUGGUGUAGCGGUGAAAUGCGUANAAA
rnacentral:rRNA from 1 species